CAUCAAUCACAUACUCUCUGUAUUGCAAAGAAAGAGGUUUAAAAUGAUAGUAAUCACUUGUGAUAAAAGGUGAUUAUGAUUGAAAAGGAGAAUGCUGCUUUGAUCAAUCAUUUAGCCAAUAGUCUAAAUGGCCUUAAAAAAAGAUUUGACCUUUUUCCAGAAGAUACGGAUGUGGCUCAGUGGCUCUGGCUCUGAACAAAGUCUACAGGAACAAGACAAUGGUGCUGCUUAAAGAAGUGGAGAGGUUACGGUUUUUUUAUCAAGUAAUGCCCUCUCGUUCGUUUACUUUUUUUUUGCCUACUUUCUUUGUUCUACUGAUUCGUUUUUUGUGCUGGCGGUUUCUCAAAUUCUUCUCAACCAUUUUCUUACAAAAAUUAUCCAAUUAACCAAGGGUUUAGCGGUGAAAAUUCCACAAAGACAACCUUUGACGGUUUGCCAAGAGCGCACCCAACCAUCACAGGCAAGUUGAUGAUGUAAAACUUGUUUGGAUUUGGGAAAAACAAUUCUAAUUUUUCGUUGUGGUGUACUGGUGAUUUUCAUUUUAAGUUGUUUACGUUCCCUUUGAUUACCAACUUGUUCCACACGGCUGACACUUGUUUCAUUGAAGAUUUCCUCGCCCGAUAUUGCAUGGGUUGUGCACACUGGGUUUUU